rnacentral:rRNA from 1 species
CCUACGGGUGGCAGCAGUGGGGAAUAUUGCACAAUGGGGGAAACCCUGAUGCAGCGACGCCGCGUGAGUGAAGAAGUAAUUCGUUACGUAAAGCUCUAUCAGCAGGGAAGAAACACUGACCUUACGGUCAGCAGACGGUACCUGCGUAAGAAGCCCCGGCUAACUACGUGCCAGCAGCCGCGGUAAUACGGCGGGGGCAAGUGGUAUCCGGAUUUAUUGGGGGUAUAGGGAGCGGAGGCGGUGCGCCAAGUCUGGAGGGAAAGGCCGCAGCUUAACGGCGGAACUGCUUUGGAAACUGGCGAACGAGAGUGCGGGAGGGGUAAGCGGAAUUCCUAGUGUAGCGGGGAAAUGCGUAGAUAUUAGGAGGAACAUCGGUGGCGAAGGCGGCUUACUGGACCGUAACUGACGUUGAGGCUCGAAAGCGUGGGGAGCAAACAGGAUUAGAUACCCCUGUAGUC